rnacentral:rRNA from 1 species
AACGAACGCUGGCGGCAUGCCUAACACAUGCAAGUCGAACGAGACCUUCGGGUCUAGUGGCGCACGGGUGCGUCACGCGUGGGAACCUGCACGUAGGUUCGGAAUAACUCCCCGAAAGGGGUGCUAAUACCGGAUAAUGUCUUCGGACCAAAGAUUUAUCGCCUUUGGAUGGGCCCGCGUUGGAUUAGCUUGUUGGUAGGGUAAAAGCCUACCAAGGCGACGAUCCAUAGCUGGUCGGAGAGAAUGAUCAGCCACACUGGGACUGAGACACGGCCCAGACUCCUACGGGAGGCAGCAGAGGGGAAUAUUGGACAAUGGGCGAAAGCAUGAUCCAGCAAUGCCGCGUGAGUGAUGAAGGCCGGAGGGUUGUAAAGCUCCUUUACCCGGGAUGAUAAUGACAGUACCGGGAGAAUAAGCUCCGGCUAACUCCGUG